rnacentral:rRNA from 1 species
UGAGGAAUAUUGGUCAAUGGACGAGAGUCUGAACCAGCCAAGUAGCGUGAAGGAUGACUGCCCUAUGGGUUGUAAACUUCUUUUAUACGGGAAUAAAGUGAGGUACGUGUGCCUUUUUGUAUGUACCGUAUGAAUAAGGAUCGGCUAACUCCGUGCCAGCAGCCGCGGUAAUACGGAGGAUCCGAGCGUUAUCCGGAUUUAUUGGGUUUAAAGGGAGCGUAGGCGGACGCUUAAGUCAGUUGUGAAAGUUUGCGGCUCAACCGUAAAAUUGCAGUUGAUACUGGGUGUCUUGAGUACAGUAGAGGCAGGCGGAAUUCGUGGUGUAGCGGUGAAAUGCUUAGAUAUCACGAAGAACUCCGAUUGCGAAGGCAGCCUGCUGGACUGUAACUGACGCUGAUGCUCGAAAGUGUGGGUAUCAAACAGGAUUAGAUACCCUGGUAGUCCACACAGUAAACGAUGAAUACUCGCUGUUUGCGAUAUACAGUAAGCGGCCAAGCGAAAGCGUUAAGUAUUCCACCUGGGGAGUACGCCGGCAACGGUGAAACUCAAAGGAAUUGACGGGGGCCCGCACAAGCGGAGGAACAUGUGGUUUAAUUCAAUGAUACGCGAGGAACCUUACCCGGGCUUGAAUUGCAACUGAAUGAUGUGGAGACAUGUCAGCCGCAAGGCAGUUGUGAAGGUGCUGCAUGGUUGUCGUCAGCUCGUGCCGUGAGGUGUCGGCUUAAGUGCCAUAACGAGCGCAACCCUUAUCGAUAGUUACCAUCAGGUUAUGCUGGGGACUCUGUCGAGACUGCCGUCGUAAGAUGUGAGGAAGGUGGGGAUGACGUCAAAUCAGCACGGCCCUUACGUCCGGGGCUACACACGUGUUACAAUGGGGGGUACAGAAGGCAGCUACACGGCGACGUGAUGCUAAUCCCGAAAGCCUCUCUCAGUUCGGAUUGGAGUCUGCAACCCGACUCCAUGAAGCUGGAUUCGCUAGUAAUCGCGCAUCAGCCACGGCGCGGUGAAUACGUUCCC